rnacentral:rRNA from 1 species
UACGGAGGGGGCAAGCGUUGCUCGGAAUUACUGGGCGUAAAGGGCGUGUAGGCGGCAGAGUAAGUCAGGUGUGAAAGCCCUCGGCUCAACCGAGGAAUUGCACCUGAAACUGCUCGGCUAGAGUACGGGAGAGGGAGACGGAAUUCCCGGCGUAGCGGUGAAAUGCGUAGAUAUCGGGAGGAACACCAGUGGCGAAGGCGGUCUCCUGGCCCUAUACUGACGCUGAGGCGCGAAAGCGUGGGGAGCAAACAGG